GGGAGGCAGCAGUAAGGAAUAUUGGUCAAUGGGCGCAAGCCUGAACCAGCCAUGCCGCGUACAGGAAGACGGCCCUACGGGUUGUAAACUGCUUUUGUACCGGAAUAAACCUUUUCACGUGUGAGAAGCUGAAUGUACGGUAAGAAUAAGGAUCGGCUAACUCCGUGCCAGCAGCCGCGGUAAUACGGAGGAUCCAAGCGUUAUCCGGAUUUAUUGGGUUUAAAGGGUGCGUAGGCGGUUCUUUAAGUCAGGGGUGAAAGACGGUAGCUUAACUAUCGCAGUGCCUUUGAUACUGAAGAACUUGAAUACACUUGAGGUAGGCGGAAUGUGACAAGUAGCGGUGAAAUGCAUAGAUAUGUCACAGAACACCAAUUGCGAAGGCAGCUUACUAAAGUGUCAUUGACGCUGAGGCACGAAAGCGUGGGAUCAAACAGGAUUAGAUACCCUGGUAGUCCACGCCCUAAACGAUGAAUACUCGAUGUUGGCGAUAUACGGUCAGCGUCUAAGCGAAAGCGUUAAGUAUUCCACCUGGGGAGUACGCCCGCAAGGGUGAACUCAAAGGAAUUGACGGGGGCCCGCACAAGCGGAGGAGCAUGUGGUUUAAUUCGAUGAUACGCGAGGAACCUUACCCGGGCUUGAAAGUUAGUGAAUGAUUCAGAGACGAAUCAGUCCUUCGGGACACGAAACUAGGUGCUGCAUGGCUGUCGUCAGCUCGUGCCGUGAGGUGUUGGGUUAAGUCCCGCAACGAGCGCAACCCCUAUGUUUAGUUGCCAGCAUGUAAUGAUGGGGACUCUAAACAGACUGCCUAUGCAAAUA
rnacentral:rRNA from 1 species